AUCAACAUUUGUUUGAUGGCACAAGUAGCUUAAUUUUACCUUGUUGAUCUUUAUAGAUGUCAUAUUUCAGUUAUUUACGGGUUCUCCCCCCCCCCUUCCAAUCUUAGGUGCUUAAAGAUGGGAACAACAUCUAAAGGAAUAUAAGGAAUCUCUCCAGAAAAAGGCAACUGCUGCAGGUUUUGACCGUCCUAUAGAUUACUUGUGGCAUGAAAGGGAAAAGGACCCUCGAUACUGCAGAAUAUCUUAUGAGAUGUACAAGAAGUGCCUUAGCGAGAAAGAAAUGAUGUGUGAAUUCAUGCGCAACAAUUGUCCCCAAUUUAAAUAGGCUACUAAAUGUUGUGAUGUUGUUCGCAACUACUUCAUGAAUGUUUGAACCACACUGAAAUCUAUAAAUUAUGCAUCUGAUCGGAGACUAUUGUAUCUAUGGAUGGAGUAAUUAUCCAGUUCAACCAAUGCUUCAUUUUAAGUAGGUUUGCUAGUUAGAGUUUGGUGUGAUAUAUUAAUAUUUAUAUAAUUUGUGUGAUUUAUAUCUAAAGGAACUGGAAUGAGCCAAAAUUUUCUUGCUCUGGCUAAAUUAGGGUGUGCAUGUGAGAGAUGUUCGCCAUUAUAUUU